CGGUCUCGUUGGGGGUGCCCGCGCCGCACGGGCUGAGAAACACCCUUGGAACCUGAUCCGGCUCGGACCGGCGUAGGGAAACGUCGUGAUGAAUAC
rnacentral:ncRNA from 1 species